rnacentral:rRNA from 1 species
CAAGUCGAGCGGACAGAAGGGAGCUUGCUCCCGGAUGUAGCGGCGGACGGGUGAGUAACACGUGGGUAACCUGCCUGUAAGACUGGGAUAACUCCGGGAAACCGGAGCUAAUACCGGAUAGUUCCUUGAACCGCAUGGUUCAAGGAUGAAAGACGGUUUCGGCUGUCACUUACAGAUGGACCCGCGGCGCAUAGCUAGUUGGUGAGGUAACGGCUCACCAAGGCGACGAUGCGUAGCCGACCUGAGAGGGUGAUCGGCCACACUGGGACUGAGACACGGCCCAGACUCCUACGGGAGGCAGCAGUAGGGAAUCUUCCGCAAUGGACGAAAGUCUGACGGAGCAACGCCGCGUGAGUGAUGAAGGUUUUCGGAUCGUAAAGCUCUGUUGUUAGGGAAGAACAAGUGCAAGAGUAACUGCUUGCACCUUGACGGUACCUAACCAGAAAGCCACGGCUAACUACGUGCCAGCAGCCGCGGUAAUACGUAGGUGGCAAGCGUUGUCCGGAAUUAUUGGGCGUAAAGGGCUCGCAGGCGGUUUCUUAAGUCUGAUGUGAAAGCCCCCGGCUCAACCGGGGAGGGUCAUUGGAAACUGGGAAACUUGAGUGCAGAAGAGGAGAGUGGAAUUCCACGUGUAGCGGUGAAAUGCGUAGAGAUGUGGAGGAACACCAGUGGCGAAGGCGACUCUCUGGUCUGUAACUGACGCUGAGGAGCGAAAGCGUGGGGAGCGAACAGGAUUAGAUACCCUGGUAGUCCACGCCGUAAACGAUGAGUGCUAAGUGUUAGGGGGUUUCCGCCCCUUAGUGCUGCAGCUAACGCAUUAAGCACUCCGCCUGGGGAGUACGGUCGCAAGACUGAAACUCAAAGGAAUUGACGGGGGCCCGCACAAGCGGUGGAGCAUGUGGUUUAAUUCGAAGCAACGCGAAGAACCUUACCAGGUCUUGACAUCCUCUGACAACCCUAGAGAUAGGGCUUUCCCUUCGGGGACAGAGU